CAAUUAGACAUGCUUGCGGGUGAGGGCCCAGACACCUCUAGCCCCUAUGACUAUCUAUCUCAAGUCUUGGAAUAUAAGCAUUUUGAGAGGAUUCGUUGCAGGUCCGGACAUACGCCAACGAGCUACUGGUCUAAGAUGAGCAUCUCCUCAUACACUUCUGGGGUCAUCAGUCGAGAGCAGCUUCAUAAGACCUUUGUGUAGGCAGCUCAGGCUCAGGAGUGCACAUCUCAGGCUGAGAAGUGUGCAUCUCAGCUAUAGAACGUCAUGUUCGCUAUGGUGUCACAGCUCUCCACUCAUCUUGGAACUGAUUUUUUGAGUAUUCAAGACAUGUUGGCUAGCAUUUCAACUCCAGCCCCUCCGGCUCUAGCCCUAGCCCCUCCAGCUCCGACUAUAGCCC
rnacentral:lncRNA from 1 species